UAAGAUAAACUUGGUAUUGAAUCCGGUCCGUGGCUCGUCUUAGUAAAAUCGCGAUCAAAGACGCUUUCAAUCGAUUUCGUUCGUAGCCGAUCGUGGCUGCAAGCGCGACCAACGUAUACUGAGUUCAGGAGCGAAGCUCGGAUUUUCAGGGGGACUUGGUGAGCCGCUCGUGUGUCAGGUGCGCUACGAGAUAUCUUCUCCCCUUCCCACGCGUCCCAUAGCCAUUCUAUUGGCGGCAAUCGCACGCUGCUGGUGGCGGCGGUAUCUCGGCUUGUCUUACCGUAUGUGCGGGACGAAGAAGAGAAACGUGGAUAAGUGCAUGUGCGUAUUUCUGGGAACAUCGAUUGUAAAAAUUCCCCGUAGAUCGAAAAUUUUAUUAUAGAAAACGUGACGGAUUAACGAGAGUCUGAUGCGCGCAGGUAGACGUCUCUUGUUUGAGGCAGCUGGUCUCGGAGCCUUUUAGCCUGCUGUCGAUUCUUUAGUUAUCCUAUAUUACGUAUAGGGACGUGGAAUGGGAGAUUAGACCACUUUUUGGGCGCUGCUCGACGAAAGAUCGACCAAAGCCUCUGCCUCUCUGUCGGUGAAUUAUUGUAGGAGAAGAAAGUUGCCUUAUUAUUUUUUCAUGGUGUACUCUUCUGAAAUAUCUUUUUCUUUCGUACGAUAUUUACUGUUAUUUCCUCGAACAACAAUCCUUAACCGCGAUGCUUUUCAGCCACGGAAGGAACUGAAAUCGGGUUGAUUGAACGAGUGGGUCUCGAAGUGUCAAAUAUCAACUUUACCCAAUUUAUUUUUCUAGAUCUCAUCGUACAGUGGUGACCCAUCGAUUACUCCCUUCGAGCAAUCAAAACGUUUGUUGACCCAACAGAAAAAUUGUCUCGUCACGAGCAGCAAGAAUGUUUCCCCCGAGGGAAUGUACAGUAAGGCUCAUUUAAAAAUAACGCUACGCUUAAUACCGGCGUCUCAUUUCUGUUUUGUAGCACGUUGUAACGCGACAAACUAUAAUAUAAAUCUAUGUCAAUACAACGCGAUAAUCCAUAUCUAAUUCGCCAAAAUCUCAUCAAUUCUGCAGUCAAGUGGCUUAUCAUUGCAAAGCUUUCGAUAAUCAAGAGAAAAUGGUUCAUCAGUAAAUUUCACGAAUGUAGCAAACACGGCGAUAAAAGGCAAUGAACAUUUAGGUGUUUGCAUAUCGAUACUUUCACCUGUACUAAUGACAGUUGGUUUCACCGGCUCAAUUGACAUUAACAUGGGGAUAAAAGCUGAGCAAGCGAGC